UCACCCAGUCUUGGUGUAUGUAGACGUUUUCUUAAUAUUUCUUAAUAUUCUAUUUAGGAUGAGCUUAUCAUGGAACAUAAGAAAAAUAAAACAGAUGUCAGCCUGUGUAUGAAGAAUUCAUCCACAAGAUUUGACCGAAGACUGUGAGACUUCCUCCCCACAGUGAGCUAAAAGGACGCUUUUGUCAGAGUGGGGAAAUAAAAGGGCUUUAUGGGAAGGAAGAUAAGAACAGAUGAGUCAGAGGUUUCUGCUUAAUGCUCACUCUUCAAUUCUUUCCCGAGCAAAACCAAGAAUCUUCUUGGGCUAAGCCCCAAUUUGGGGUUCACCUGCCUUGCAGCAACAUGGCACCAAACAUGCGGCAGAAGAGAGAAAACGACAGCAUGAGAGACGGAGAAAGAAAUGGCCAGUUGGCAAGGUGGUAAUGAGAGACAGCAGUUGGCAAGACAGUGAGAGACAGCAAGAGAUGGUGGUACAGCCAAGCAGACAGGCAAGUAAGUGGCCAUACUGCUACUGCCUCAUGUAGGAUCCGGCAGGCUGGUGGGUUAUCAGUCCUCACGUGGGACCCUCCCACCAUGGCAGCUGAGCACAUCCAAGCUGGGGGAUCCUGAAGAGACCUUCACCUGGGUGCCACGUGGAAGAUUGGCCAGCACCAUUUUGACUCCUGUGGAUGGUUCCAGGUAAAGACAAUCCUUGCACAAGGCUUCCAACUCGACCCGCCUACUGACCUGGAGAAUGAAAGUGUCCUGCCUCGGGG
rnacentral:lncRNA from 10 species